GGAAUAUUGCACAAUGGAGGAAACUCUGAUGCAGUGACACCGCGUAUAGGAAGAAGGUUUUCGGAUUGUAAACUAUUUUAGACAGGGAAGAAAAAAGACAGUACCUGUAGAAUAAGCUCCGGCUAACUACGUGCCAGCAGCCGCGGUAAUACGGAGGAUGCGAGCGUUAUCCGGAUUUAUUGGGUUUAAAGGGUGCGCAGGCGGGCCUUUAAGCCGGCGGUGAAAUCGCGGGGCUCAACCCCGCCGAGCCGUCGGAACUGGGGGCCUUGAGUGCGGCGGAGGCAUGCGGAAUGCGCGGUGUAGCGGUGAAAUGCAUAGAUAUCGCGCAGAACCCCGAUUGCGAAGGCAGCGUGCCGUGCCGCCACUGACGCUGAGGCACGAAAGCGCGGGGAUCGAACAG
rnacentral:rRNA from 1 species